rnacentral:rRNA from 1 species
AGUAACCUGCCUUGGAGUGGGGAAUAACACAUCGAAAGAUGUGCUAAUACCGCAUAAUGCAGUUGGGCCGCAUGGCUCUGGCUGCCAAAGAUUUAUCGCUCUGAGAUGGACUCGCGUCUGAUUAGCUGGUUGGCGGGGUAACGGCCCACCAAGGCGACGAUCAGUAGCCGGACUGAGAGGGCGGACGGCCACACUGGGACUGAGACACGGCCCAGACUCCUACGGAAGGCAGCAG